GACGUAGGGCGCGAGCGUUGUCCGGAUUUAUUGGGCGUAAAGGGCGCGUAGGCGGCGGGGUAAGUCGGGUGUGAAAUCUCAGGGCUCAACCCUGAAACUGCACUUGAUACUGCUCUGCUUGAGGACUGGAGAGGAGACUGGAAUUCACGGUGUAGCAGUGAAAUGCGUAGAUAUCGUGAGGAAGACCAGUGGCGAAGGCGGGUCUCUGGACAGUUCCUGACGCUGAGGCGCGAAGGCCAGGGGAGCAAACGGG
rnacentral:rRNA from 1 species